CUUCCCUCUCUUUCCCUCCUUAAGGUUCUGCCCUAUUGUACAAACAGGUGGGCGGUUUCUACAAGCAUUAUAAGAGUGAAAGGACGUUCCAGCUUCUGCAAUACAAGCGCAAAGAGACGUCUGCAGGUAAACUGACAGCCAAUAUCCUGCCCAUUUAUCCAAGGAGGCGCUGUAGGGUUUUACAACAAGUUGAGAAGAUCAUAGGAAUACCGUAGUCCCCAUAUCCAGUCGUGAAAAGGAAAUGCAUACAUCUUUGCCCGUGGCCGUUUAGAAACGUUCCCUUCAUUUGCUGCUGCGGUUUACGGUGCGCCAUAUGGGACCUUUACUAACAGAUAUGCCGCUGGUGGCAUCCUUCGUCGACUCGCGAUCAGAAGGCAGCGGCACGUCUUUCUCCGGUGAGGACUGCCCAAGCCCAUCUGAAUCGGAGAGAGGAGGACAGAAAGGAGUGUGUGUGGACCGGAGAGGUAAAAGAAGAGUGAAGAACAGAGACGCUGCCAGGAAGAGCAGGAAAAAACAGACGGAGAGAGCAGACAUUCUCCACCAGGAUCUACAGACCUUGGAAGCUCUAACUCAGCUCUAGAGAAGGAGAUUGCUGGUCUGAGAAGAGAGUUCCGGCUCUACACAGCCACCCUUGAGCAACAUGAAUCUGCCUGCACCCUCCGGCCCUCGUCUAUACCCGCCAAUAUCCCCUGCUGCCAGAUCCUGUCCCCUCCGCGUCAUCUAUUGCCCCUGUGACUACCCCUGCACCCGCUGUGUCCACUCAAACUACCCCGGCCACCCGCUGUGUCCCCUCAAACUACCCCGGCACCCGCUGUGUCCCCUCAAACUACCCCGGCACCCGCUGUGUCCCCUCAAACUACCCCGGGCUCUCUUCUUGCCCCAGUACCUGGAGGGCAGAGGACUUGUUUACCACUCCCCACUCUCGUCACUGCUCCUUCAAUUGCCCAUGUGACUAACCCCUACCCUUUUGCUUUCCACUCUGUAUUCCCCAAUAUUUAAUAAUGCCUCUCUGAUUGCCCCAAACAAUAUUUGUUCCUCUCCAAUUACCCCAAAAACUAAUAUUUCCCCUCUAACUACCUCGAUAAAUAAUCUUGCCCAUCCAACUACCCCAAUAACUAAUCUUGCCCCUCCAACUAUCCCUGCUCCUACUCUGUCACCCAUCUCCUACCCUCUGACCAUGUACCCUCUGAACUUGUCUACCCCAGCCAUUGAACCCCCAAUAGAAUUGUCCCUCUCCGACAUCCUGGACAGUCCUGAUUGGCUCUGCGACCCUGCAUCACACACCUGGGGCGAGUUCUAAUGGACCAAUGACACUGUUUGGCGAAUGGUUGAAAGCAGCUGGUGGUUGCUCGGCCCUAUUGCCUCUGACCACAGAACAUCAGUACUGAUUUUCUGGCAAUUUUCUGACGAAUCUCCACGUUGAAUCUCCACUGUCCAUCGACAGACAACCACUAGGUGAUCUACAGCCAACGUCUGUGAUGAUGUGUCUUUCACGGAGUAAGAUUCCUGGCACCCUGUGAAAGACUCAUUUAGGUUUCUGUAGAAAAGAACAGAAAGACACUUAAAAUUGAUUCUGUAGCUGUUAUGUUGAUUCACGGUUUGUGUUUUUGAAUAACCGGCCCUGUUCAUUGGUCAUAACAGACUAUUGGCCCUGAUCAUUGGUCAUAACAGACUAUUGGCCCUGAUCAUUGGUCAUAACAGACCUAUUGGCCCUGUUCAUUGGUCAUAACUGACUAUUGGCCCUGUUCAUUGGUCAUAACAGUACUAUUGGCCCUGUUCAUUUGGUCAUAACAGACUAUUGGCCCUGUUCAUUGGUCAUAACAGACUAUUGGCCCUGAUCAUUGGUCAUAACAGACUAUUGGCCCUGUUCAUUGGUCAUAACAGACUAUUGGCCCUGUUCAUUGGUAAUAACAGACUAUUGGCCCUGUUCAUUGGUCAUAACAGACUAUUGGCCCUGUUCAUUGGUCAUAACAGGACUAUUGGCCCUGAUCAUUGGUCAUAACAGACUAUUGGCCCUGUUCAUUGGUCAUAAACAGACUAUUGGCCCUGAUCAUUGGUCAUAACAGACUAUUGGCCCCUGAUCAACUUCUUUGAGAGUAGAAUAAUUGAUUGAUUGAUUGUAAUAAUCUUUUUAACUCUUCGUUAGAACCUCACAUAUUGAGUUAAUUUAUUUGUGCAUAAAAUCAACAAUUCAAUGACUUUCAAACCUUUUUAAGUGUGAUUUUAAUUCAUUGUAAAAAGCUGCAAAUGUAUUGAACAGGCUAUAGACAAAACGAAUAUCAUAUGACUAUAUUUGGAAAACCACAUCUCGUACAAUAUAAACUACGUCUUAUAUUCAAAAUAUCCCAGAUUUAGGUUUAAACACAGGAUAUACAGGUAACUGCCAAAAUAAUGGAAACUCCAACAUAAAGUGUCUUAAUGAGACGUUGGGGCCGCCGCCAGAACAGAUGCAUCUUGGG